GGGCGUGUAGCUCAGCUGGUUAGAGUACUUCCUUGACAUGGAAGGGGUCACAGGUUCGAGUCCUGUCACGCCCA
rnacentral:tRNA from 1 species